rnacentral:rRNA from 1 species
AUUGAACGCUGGCGGCAUGCCUUACACAUGCAAGUCGAGCGGCAGCGCGGACUUCGGUCUCGUCGCAAGUGACCGACGGGUGGGUAAUGUAUCGGAACGUGCCCAGUAGCGGGGGCUAACUACACGACAGGGUAGCUAAUAUCGCAUACGCCCUAAUGGUGAAACCCAUGGAUCGUUAGACCAUGCCCCUUUUGCGGGGCCUAUAUCGUAUUAGCUAGUUGGUUAGGUAAGGGCUUACCAAGGCAACGAUCCGUAGCUGGGGUGAGAGGGUGACCGGCCACACUGGAACUGAGACACGGUCCAGACUCCGACGGGAGGCAGCAGUGGGGAAUUUUGGACAAUGGGCGAAAGCCUGACGCAGCCAUGCCGCGUGAGUGAUGAAGGUCUUCGGAUUGUAAAGCACUGUUAGCAGGAAAGAAACGCUGCGUGAUAAAACCCCGAGGAAUUGACGGUACCUGCAGAAUAAGCACCGGCUAACUACGUG